AGUAUUAUGGCGUAAUGGUUUGAGUGUUGGACUACAACUCCGGAGACCAGGGUUCGAUUCCCAACAUGGCCA